rnacentral:rRNA from 1 species
UGCAGUCGAGCGGUAGCACAGAGAGCUUGCUCUCGGGUGACGAGCGGCGGACGGGUGAGUAAUGUCUGGGAAACUGCCUGAUGGAGGGGGAUAACUACUGGAAACGGUAGCUAAUACCGCAUAACGUCGCAAGACCAAAGUGGGGGACCUUCGGGCCUCAUGCCAUCAGAUGUGCCCAGAUGGGAUUAGCUGGUAGGUGGGGUAACGGCUCACCUAGGCGACGAUCCCUAGCUGGUCUGAGAGGAUGACCAGCCACACUGGAACUGAGACACGGUCCAGACUCCUACGGGAGGCAGCAGUGGGGAAUAUUGCACAAUGGGCGCAAGCCUGAUGCAGCCAUGCCGCGUGUGUGAAGAAGGCCUUCGGGUUGUAAAGCACUUUCAGCGGGGAGGAAGGCGGUGAGGUUAAUAACCUYGUCGAUUGACGUUACCCGCAGAAGAAGCACCGGCUAACUCCGUGCCAGCAGCCGCGGUAAUACGGAGGGUGCAAGCGUUAAUCGGAAUUACUGGGCGUAAAGCGCACGCAGGCGGUCUGUCAAGUCGGAUGUGAAAUCCCCGGGCUCAACCUGGGAACUGCAUUCGAAACUGGCAGGCUAGAGUCUUG